rnacentral:rRNA from 1 species
ACGACGGGUAGCUGGACUGAGAGGUCGGUCAGCCACAAUGGCACUGCGACACGGGCCAUACACCUACGGGUGGCAGCAACCGGGAAUAUUCGGCAAUGGGCGAAAGCCUGACCGAGCGACGCCGCGUGGAGGAUGAAGGCCUUCGGGUUGUAAACUCCUUUUAUUUGGGAAGAUUAUGACGGUACCAGAUGAAUAAGCACCUGCUAACUACGUGCCAGAAGCCUCGGUAAUACGUAGGGUGCAAGCAUUAUCCGGAUUUAUUGGGCGUAAAGUGUUGCGUAGGCGGUUUGACGCAUUCUGCUAGAAAGCCCGUGGCUUAACCACGGUUUUUGGCAGAAGAUGGUCUAACUUAGAUGGUAUGAGAGGGUACUGGAACUGAUAGUGAAGCAGUGAAAUGCGUUGAUAUUAUCGGGAACACCAAAGGCGUAGGCAGGUACCUAGAAUACACAUGACGCUGAGGCACGACAGCUAGGGUAGCGAAAAGGAUUAGAGACCCUUGUAGUCCAAGCUGUAAACUAUCCUUGCUAGAUGGGGUCGGUUUUCCGGCUCUGUCGUAAGCUAACGCGUUAAGCAAGGCGCCUGGGGAGUACGAGCGCAAGCUUAAAACUCAAAGGAAUUGACGGGGACCCGCACAAGCAGUGGAGCGUGUGGUUUAAUUCGAUACAAAGCGAAAAACCUCACCAGGGUUUGACAUGUAUCUGCAAAGCCUAUGAAAGUAGGCCUCCUUCGAGGGUGAUACACAGAUGCUGCAUGGCUGUCGUCAGCUCGUGGCGUGAGCUGUACCAUUAAGUUGGACAACGAGCGCAACCCGCACUAUAUGUUAAAUAAUUCAUAUGGAACAGCCCGGCUUUUCGCCGGGAGGAAGACGCGGAUGACGUCAAGUCAGCACGGUUCUUACACCCUGGGCUACACACACCCUACAAUGGCGAAAAACAACGAGUUACAAGUCAGUAAUGGCAAGUUAAUCUCUUAAAUUUCGUCUCAGUUCAGAUUGAGGGCUGCAAUUCGCCCUCAUGAAGUUGGAAUUGCUAGUAAUCGCGAAUCAGAAGGUCGCGGUGAAUACGUUCUCGGGUCUUGUACAAAUUAAAUGCGCCUGGCAGUUUAUUAAACUAGGUGGUGAAAAUCCAUCAUUGGCGAAAGCCAUUU